CACUGUGCAAGAGGUCUCAGAUGCAAGGACAAGGUUUGAAAAGUCUACGAAAGAAAUACUUCAAAAGUAGCACAUUUUUGUACUGACUUAUUGGGAAUGCCAACAAAACUGUCCUUAGCAAUGAUGAUACAGUAUACAGUACCAGCAUAGAACUGUAUUGGCUUAAAUUGCUUCAUCAGGAUGCUUAAAUACAAAGCCAAUUAGAAAAUUUAUUGGAUGCUCUUCACAUAAUGUAAACUUUCUUACAGGAAACAUGGAGAAGAUGAUUUUAAAGGUCUUUAAAAUGGUUCUCAGUACAGUGAUCAAAGUGCUACUUAUUAAAACAGAACCAUCUACAGCGAUCUGGGUGACUGAGAAGCGGCACGGCAUUUCUCGCUGAAGAAUUCACAGACAAAGGGCCAGGAGGAAUAUAAAGAUCAUCAAUUAGUAUUUUAGAUUCCUCCCUCCCAACGAGUUGCUGUUAUCUUGGAAAACGGAGCAGUUAUAUGAGAAUCACAGGGCAUCACACAAUAGAACUUCCGCAACUGCAGAAUUCAAACCCUUCCGUAUGAUUACGGUAAAUCACUGCUCUGCUCCAGAGACACACUUCUGAUACCAUUUCUGGCACCAAAGCCGUAACAUAUGGAGGAGGUGCAGGCAGCAAGGGGGAAUACCAUACGAGGAACGAACCACCCCGAAAAGCAGACCCUUUCCUUUGCGCAUCCAGACGUAUCAAAGGGCACGACUGCGGGCGGCUCUUCGCCGCUCCGCUUCCACUCUGCCAAACCCGUCACGUUUAAAGGCGUACCCGGGGAGCUGCUGGAGCGCCGCAGCGGGGUCCGGACCUGCGGAAGCGCCGCCACCACCACGG